GCCUUUGUGGAUCACGGUGAUCGCCUCGUCCCAGUAAGGGCGGUAUAUCUCGCAACAUACAAUGAGGAGACGGAGGUUCAAUACCUCCCGAAGGCG